UCUUUGUUUAUGUCCUCUCUGGACAGAGAGAGACCAAGCAGGUAAAACAUCUCCUAAAAGCAUACAUCCAAGAUUACACAAAUUACACUCACAGGAGGGAAAGGAUAUUACCCAUAGGCCUGUGAAAUAGAUGCACACAGAUCAUUCAUGGGAUUCCAGUGAGGAUAUGGUAAUCACAGAAGUAUGAGCAAGAAGAUCAAGAGAAGAAGCUAAAUCGAAGGAGCCAGGAAGAGCCCAUGGGCAUAUUCAAGUCCCUCUGUGGGGAAGCCAACCUCAAGGAUCCCAGCGGAA